UAGAUUUUUAAAAGCCGCAAAUUUACUGAAAGGCCUAGUACUAGUAGUCAAAUAGAAAAACACUUUCACUAGUCUACCAUUACUCAGAGCUCCUUCAACUAAGCAGUUUUUCAUUUUGUACUUUAAAAAUGUUUAUUUUAUCCGUUGUCAACAAACACAGACCAGUAUGGGUGAGAGCAAAUCCAGUUUGCGUGAAUUCUAAACAUUCGGUCACACUUCAUGGAAUACGUUUUUUGACAAAGGAAUACACUUGCUAGAAGGAGGCCGGAAAAGUCGCUACGACUCGCUGCAGCGGAGAAUGGGACCGCGCACGCAAAUCGAUUCAGUAUUCCGGUGUUUUCUUUAGUAUUUUCAAAGAAGAUUUUUGUACUUGGCGCUUCGGGAUUUUUUGAGAAGGAAAUUGUUGUUGGUGCAGGCCCAAUGAGCCUUCUAACGGCUUAGGAGGUGGCCAGCCAAUGAUCUCAUAUUGAGCACAUAUGUUGCAAUGCUCUUUUUUAGGGAAAUGACCAACCUCCAGCUUAUGUCCUUCUUGGCAAGACCUGGCACCUGUUGCACAAAAACAUACAUUAUUAAUCUAAAGCCUAGUACUCACAUCGACGAAAGUCGCGAACUAACCAUAGGAGUGAGCAAGAGG